rnacentral:rRNA from 1 species
GACGAACGCUGGCGGCGUGCCUAAUACAUGCAAGUCGAACGCAGUGGGGACGGGUGAGUAACACGUGGGUAACCUCCCAUCAGAGGGGAUAACACUUGGAAACAGGUGCUAAACCGAUACUGAUGGAUGAACCCGCGGUGCAUUAGCUAGUUGGUGAGGUAACGGCUCACCAAGGCCACGAUGCAUAGCCGCACUGAGUGGGUGAUCGGCAAAAUGGGGACUGAGACACGGCCCAGAAUACUACGGGAGGCAGCAGUAGGUAAGCGUCGGAAAUGGACGAAAGUCUGACCGAGCAACGCCGCGUGAGUGAAGAAGGUUUUCGGAUCGUAAAACUCUGUUGUUAGAGAAGCGGUAUCUAACCAGAAAGCCACGGCUAACUACGGGCCAGCAGCCGCGGUAAUAC